rnacentral:tRNA from 1 species
GCACCCGUAGCUCAACCGGAUAGAGCAUCGGUCUUCGGAACCGAGGGUUGGGGGUUCGAGCCCCUCCGGGUGCGCCA